rfam:Vagococcus teuberi strain DSM 21459, complete genome.
CAGUCCUUUAAGAGUAGUCCAGAGAGGCUAAGAAGGAGCGUGUAAUAUGUAUUGAUAAGGGUCAUUGUAUCCUUAUAUCACUAUGACUAAACACAACCCUCUUAUUCUUUGAUGGAUGAGAGGGUUUUUUGUUU